rfam:Triticum aestivum genome assembly, contig: Triticum_aestivum_CS42_TGACv1_scaffold_328545_4BS
GCUCAGUUGGUAAAGCACAAGGCUCUUAACCUUGUGGACGUGGAUUCAAGUCCCAC